rnacentral:rRNA from 1 species
GUCCACGCCCUAAACGAUGUCAACUAGGUGUUGGGUGGGUAAAACCAUUUAGUACCGGAGCUAACGCGUGAAGUUGACCGCCUGGGGAGUACGGCCGCAAGGUUAAAACUCAAAGGAAUUGACGGGGACCCGCACAAGCGGUGGAUGAUGUGGAUUAAUUCGAUGCAACGCGAAAAACCUUACCUACCCUUGACAUGUUCAGAAGUCUCGAGAGAUUGAGAUGUGCCCGAAAGGGAGCUGGAACACAGGUGCUGCAUGGCUGUCGU